rnacentral:lncRNA from 1 species
CUGCUACACAAUACUUUUCAAAGAUAUCAGGGCUCAAGGGGACACUGAUGUGAUUCUCAAUGCAUUUCUCCAUCUUUAUGUUAACAGAUCAGGGUCUUAUCUAGGUUUUUGGUGUCCUGAACAAAGGAUUGAGCAGGACAUUCAAAAGGGGCAACAAGAUCAAAGAUUUAUUGAAAAUGAAACCACUCCAUAGGGUGGGAACAGAGCCUGGUCAUCUCCUAGGUCCGCAUCAAGGAUGUUCUGUGCGUAAAGGAGCCUGGAAGAGACCCAUGCUUCCUUCCUUGGAAGACUUAUGCAUCUUGCUUGCUGCCCACAUCAGACCUG